rnacentral:misc_RNA from 1 species
UGAUUCUGAUGAUCCUAAUCAAACAUUGACAUAUUAAAACCUCAAGAUUGGCUAAAAUAGUGAAAAAGAGGGGAAAUAAUACCAAUCUGAUGAAAUAAUUGAACUCUUACAGCAUGGGUAAGAUAAGCAACAACUUUAUCACCAGUUCUGAAAUUUUUGACUCCUGCUCCAACCUCUAAAACCUCUCCUGCUACAUCAGUAGCUGGAAUGUGAGGGAAUCUGCGAGGCAAAAGAGGCCGAGACACACCCUUUUGAAUUUUCCAAUCAAAUGGAUUUACACUAAUCGCUUCUAACUUCAGCAAUACCUCAUCUUUCUUUGGAGCAGGGACUGGAACUUCCACAUGCUUUAGGCCAGCAGCUCCUCCCCCAUAACUAUCAUAUUGAACGGCAUGCAUUAGCUUCCCAGCCAUGUCCAGAAGAAGUAAAGUCGUUUAAAGAAAGAGUAGGAAGGAAGGAGAAGUAGAAGGCCUGAGUGGGAUGGCGGGAUUUUAUGGUGUGGCUAUGCAUUGCGGUGAUCAUCAUAGACACGGCAUUUGCA